rnacentral:rRNA from 1 species
AUACGUAGGGAGCGAGCGUUGUCCGGAUUUACUGGGUGUAAAGGGUGCGUAGGCGGCUCUGCAAGUCAGGUGUGAAAACCAUCGGCUUAACUGAUGGACUGCAUUUGAGACUGUGGGGCUUGAGUGGAGUAGAGGCAGACGGAAUUCCCGGUGUAGCGGUGAAAUGCGUAGAGAUCGGGAAGAACACCAGUGGCGAAGGCGGUCUGCUGGGCUCUAACUGACGCUGAGGCACGAAAGCAUGGGUAGCAAACAGGAUUAGAUACCCUGGUAGUCCACGCCGUAAACGAUGAGUGCUAAGUGUUAGAGGGGUUAAACCCUUUAGUGCUGUAGCUAACGCGUUAAGCACUCCGCCUGGGGAGUACGGCCGCAAGGCUGAA